ensembl:lncRNA
GUUCACCACAUUUAUAGUGCUUUUUUUUUGGUGCCUGGCUGACAUAUAAAAUCACCAUCCACUUUCAACAGCAGCUCAGAUGUUCUGCAAAAAUUUUCCUUGUGUUCCCCAAAAGAAAAAAGGUUCACACACACACACCAGGAGGGAUCUGAAGCCCACACGACACAGACACCUCAACCGAAUGUAAAACAAACACUCUCGAUUUCACUCUUCAAAAAGACGUUCACCACCUUCAAAGCUUUACGACGAAAGCGGAGCGGAACGCUCCAAAACACAGGCAACAAACAACUCGUUUAUACAUUCUCCUAAUUCCUCUCCGACGGGCCUCGAUGUCUUUCUUCAGCAACAGACUGUUGGGGAUCACGGCUUCAACGUUGCAGUUUUAAGACUCAGCCGUCUCCCCUCCCCGCUCCUCCGUAUCUCUGUGAUAAACGCCGGAGCAAAUUCAAAGCCAAACAAACACGGAUUCAAAGAAAGAUUUUUGUGGCAACUUAAGGAAAGCGCAUGUUCGUGACAACGUGUCGCCGGGGAGUUUGUUCAGUCGGUGCUCGCUCAGAUAGACCCUGGCUGCUCAUCCUGAGCAGGGAAGUGCAUUUGCUUGAUUAUCAUUAAAAAAAGAGAGAUGAUGUCUUCAGAAGUCAGAGGGGAUAUUUAUCAGCCUCGCAGUUGGAGACGUGAUGGCGUGUCUCUUCUAAUAGAACAGCCUCAAGGCUCUGGGCCUGUGUGCGCAGGCUUUCCAUCUGUAGCACCUGAGGAAGAGGACGGGAACACCGAGCUGUCAGGAGAGAUGAGCUCACGCUCUAUGCGGCAGGCUGUCAAAUGCGACACAUCCUCUUCAAGAGCAGACACAAGAGCAAACUUCCGCUAUACUCCUCGAUCUUUGUCUCUUUCUCUAUCUGUUCAACACAGUCUCACUCCCUACUCGUCAAAUGUCUGA